UACGGAGGGGGCGAGCGUUGUCCGGAAUUAUUGGGCGUAAGAGCUCGUAGGUGGCCUGUCGCGUCGGCUGUGAAACUCGGGGCUCAACUCCGAGCUUGCAGUCGAUACGGGCAGGCUAGAGUUCGGCAGGGGAGCUGGAAUUCCUGGUGUAGCGGUGAAAUGCGCAGAUAUCAGGAGGAACACCGGUGGCGAAGGCGGGUCUCUGGGCCGAUACUGACACUGAGGAGCGAAAGCGUGGGGAGCGAACAGG
rnacentral:rRNA from 1 species